rnacentral:lncRNA from 1 species
AGUAAAGAUAAUGAACUCAAAGUAAAUGCAAACCAGAGAGCAGCGCGAUUUAGAGUGGUUCGGUCAAUCUUGACCUACAUCCACUUCUGGCUUCCUCCACCGAUGAGGUUGCCGACGUCCACUAGAGGCCUUCCUUUAAUAGGCGAAGGCAACCACCUUUUUACAUAUUUACUCCUUUUGACGGGCUUAGGAGACAACCCUUACAAAACUUUUCUCUCCUCUCUUGAAAGAUCUGAAC